rnacentral:rRNA from 1 species
CCUACGGGUGGCAGCAGUGAGGAAUAUUGGGCAAUGGGCGCAACCCUGAACCAGCCAAGUCGCGUGAGGGAAUAAGGCCCUACGGGUCGUAAACCUCUUUUGCCGGGGAGCAAGCGCGGGGUCGUGUCCCGUCCCGGAGAGUACCCGGAGAAAAAGCAUCGGCUGACUCCGUGCCAGCAGCCGCGGGAAUACGGAGGAUGCGUGCGUGAUCCGGAUUUAUUGGGUUUGAAGGGUGCGUAGGCGGGCUUUUAAGUCAGCGGUAAAAAUUCGGGGCUCAACCCCGGCCUGCCGUUGAAACUGGGGGCCUUGAGUGGGCGAGAAGAAGGCGGAAUGCGUGGUGUAGCGGUGAAAUGCAUAGAUAUCACGCAGAACCCCGAUUGCGAAGGCAGCCUUCCGGCGCCCUACUGACGCUGAGGCACGAAAGUGCGGGGAUCGAACAGGAUUAGAUACCCGUGUAGUC